AGCAGCCGCGGUAAUUCCAGCUCCAAUAGCGUAUAUUAGAGUUGUUGCAGUUAAAAAGCUCGUAGUUGAAUUUCGGGAUCAAUGUUUCGGUCAUGCCCUUGGUAUGUACUGAUAUUAUUGGUUUCUCACCUUCUAAAGAACCGUAAUGCCAUUAAUUUGGUGUCACGGGGAAUUAGGACUGUUACCUCGAAAAAAUUAGAGUGUUUAAAGCAGGCUCACGCUUGAAUACAUUAGCAUGGAAUAAUGAAAUAGGACAUCCGAUUCUAUUUUGUUGGUUUCUAGGAUCGAUGUAAUGAUUAAUAGGGAUAGUUGGGGGCAUUAGUAUUCAAUUGUCAGAGGUGAAAUUCUUGGAUUUAUUGAAGACUAACUACUGCGAAAGCAUUUGCCAAGGAUGUUUUCAUUAAUCAAGAACGAAAGUUAGGGGAUCGAAGACGAUCAGAUACCGUCGUAGUCUUAACCAUAAACUAUGCCGACUAGGGAUCGGAUGAUGUUAAUUUUUUAAUGACUCAUUCGGC
rnacentral:rRNA from 1 species